CUCCUACGGGAGGCAGCAGUGGGGAAUAUUGGACAAUGGGCGAAAGCCUGAUCCAGCAAUGCCGCGUGAGUGAUGAAGGCCUUAGGGUUGUAAAGCUCUUUUACCCGGGAUGAUAAUAACAGUACCGGGAGAAUAAGCUCCGGCUAACUCCGUGCCAGCAGCCGCGGUAA
rnacentral:rRNA from 1 species